AGAGCCGCUCAAACUUGUCAUCCUAUUAAAAUAGAACAACACUAAUUCACAGAAUUCUAACCGUUGAAUACAUGCAUUACGACAAACAUAAUAAUGAAAGGAAGAAAAACAGUAUAUAAUAAGGAACAUUUAUUUAAAUAAUGAAUAAAUGAGGAACCCUAAGAUCUAUAGGCACUAUCAUCGUAAAACUAUCAUCAAGCAAAUGGUGAGUAACACAAAGGGCCCAAAAACUUACACAAAACAAAGUCCAUUUGAAAACAUCCAAUUAUUAAUAAGUUUGAAUAUUCAGUGAAUAUCCAUCCAUCAAAUUGAAUGUCUUCGGAAAAAAAAAAAA
rnacentral:misc_RNA from 1 species